CUGCUGCCUUCCGUAGGAGUUUGGACCGCGUCUCAGUUCCAAUGUGGGGGACCUUCCUCUCAGAACCCCUAUCCAUCGUUGUCUUGGUGGGCCGUUACCCCGCCAACUAACUAAUGGAACGCAUCCCCAUCCCAUACCGAAAUUCUUUAAUAAUCCCAUCAUGCGGUAGGACUAUGACAUCGGGUAUUAAUCUUUCUUUCGAAAGGCUAUCCCCGAGUAUGAGGCAGGUUGGAUACGUGUUACUCACCCGUGCGCCGGUCGCCCAUCAAAAGUUUG
rnacentral:rRNA from 1 species